rnacentral:rRNA from 1 species
AUUGAACGCUGGCGGCAGGCCUAACACAUGCAAGUCGAACGAGUGGCGGACGGGUGAGUAAUGUCUGGGAAACUGCCUGAUGGAGGGGGAUAACUACUGGAAACGGUAGCUAAUACCGCAUACCAUCGGAUGUGCCCAGAUGGGAUUAGCUAGUAGGUGGGGUAAAGGCUCACCUAGGCGACGAUCCCUAGCUGGUCUGAGAGGAUGACCAGCCACACUGGAACUGAGACACGGUCCGGACUACUCCGGGAGGCAGCAGAGGGGAAUAGUGUACACGGGGAGCAGGCUUGAUGCAGCCAGGCCGAGUGUAUGAAGAAGGCCUUCGGGUUGUAAAGUACUUUCAGCGGGGAGGCUUUACCCGCUGAAGAAGCACCGGCUAACUCCGUGCCAGCAGCCGCGGUAAUUC